rnacentral:rRNA from 1 species
CUAGUAAUCGCGCAUCAGCCACGGCGCGGUGAAUACGUUCCCGGGCCUUGUACACACCGCCCGUCAAGCCAUGGGAGCCGGGGGUACCUGAAGUGCGUAACCGCGAGGAGCGCCCUAGGGUAAAACUGGUGACUGGGGCUAAGUCGUAACAAGGUAGC